rnacentral:misc_RNA from 1 species
GAUGAAGAACGCAGCGAAAUGCGAUAAGUAAUGUGAAUUGCAGAAUUCAGUGAAUCAUCGAAUCUUUGAACGCACAUUGCGCCCGUCAGUAUUCUGGCGGGCAUGCCUGUUCGAGCGUCAUUUCAACCCUUAAGCCCUGUUGCUUAGCGUUGGGAGCCUACAGUACUGUAGCUCCCCAAAGUUAGUGGCGGAGUCGGUUUCACACUCUAGACGUAGUAAUUUUUUCUCGUCUGUAGUUGAGCCGGUCCCCUGCCGUAAAACACCCAAUUUAUCAAGGUUGACCUCGGAUCAGGUAGGAAUACCCGCUGAACUUAAGCAUAUCAAUAAGCGGAGGA